UCGUCUUUAUUUCUCUCUAUAUAACAGCAGCCACACACGGUCAUGUAUACCGUGAAGUCUGCAGCGCUUUAUGAAUGUGGACAUGGGAAGGGGAAGUGCGAAAAAACGAGUGCGAUGUAGACCACAAAACUGAAGUAAGAUUUCUUUCAAAAAUAAAAAACAAAGCGCCAUCUGUGAGCCUCAGGCAUAACUGCAUCGCAACAGGUUUUUGUACAAAAUGGGAUUGUUUCAAAGUUUUCUACGAACGCCAUCUACUGGUACUUUAAAAAUUGUUAUUUUAAAGUACAAGCAAGACAUUCAUUUAAUAACUUCAUGCUAUGUUUGAACGCUUUUUAGCGCCCGUUAAAAAAACGAUAUUUAUACUUGACCGUGUGUAGCUGGCGUAUUACCAUACUAUAUAGACGUAGAGACGAAUUCGAUACUCACACUGUCAGGAGAGAAACACAUUACAGAAAUAUAAUCAAAAAGGGCACUACAUAUUUUCAUGUUAGUUCAGUCCUUGAUAUAUAUUUUAACGUAAAUUAAUUUACUCUAAACCAGUUUUCUGUGACUAAACCAUCAACCUUAGUUACCUUUUAUUAUUAUUACAAGCAUGAUGCAUAAUAAAACCUCAUUUUGAUAAAAGCCAAUUUUUCUACCUGUGGUAGGAAAAGUAGAUUUGAAAUUUGGAACACAAUUUAAUUAUAAAUAAUCUUUGAGAAGUAAUAAAGAUCCUCGAUCCCAAAUAAAUAUUUUUUUAAUAUACCUUCAAUUAACUUCAUACUAUAUUUGAACGCUUUCAUAACGUCCGUUCAAACAACUCUCGUGUGAAUGUGGGCUUAAUAGUAAAAAUAUAUUUUUGGUCUAGACACUUCAUGACAACCAGUUUAUAGGUACAAUAUAAUGUCAUUGAUGACAACCUUCAAAACUUAGUGGCAAUUUGAUACUGUUACUAUCGCGUUAACGUAAACGCGAAUUUCUAAGGAAUUGAAACAGCGCCAUCUAGUGCCACUACUGCACAACUUCAAUUCCAUAUAAAUUCGCGUUUACGUCAACGUGAAAUAAUGAAAAUAUUGAAAACUCGCACUAGCCGUGCUAAGAAUCUAUCUAAAAUAUUAUGUCUUUAUUUGCAUGCAAAUUAUCAUUUUGAUGAUCAUUGAUCAUAAUAAAAUUUAUCUUAGCAAGAAAACAUAAUGGCAAUUACAUAAAACUACAAUAAAAUGAUAUCAGAUCAUGUCUUAUCUAUUUCUCAGAAAAAUAGAAUUAUUACAUUGUUUACGACAUCUUAUCUCACAAACCUGGAGUAAUAAACACCAAUCAUUAUUCAUGAUGUAAUAUUUUUCAAUUGAAGGGAGCAAACUCAACUUGAUGUAACUGAAAAUUUACAUAAAUCUUACUAAAAUUAUAAACGCGAAAGUUUGUUACUCUUUAACGCCGCAAUUACUGAACCGAUUUAGCUGAAAUUUAGAAUGGAAAUAGAUAUUACUCUGGAAUAACACACUAGCUAAUUUUAAUUUCCGGAAAAAUCCAUGGUUCUUGAGGAAUUUGUGAAAAACUAAACUUCACGCGGACGAAGUCGCGGGCGUCCGCUAGUGUAUUGCAGACAAGACAACAGCCCGCGUAGUUCCCGUUCCCAUGUAGAGAAAAUGCAAAUAACGUGGCAUUCUAGUGGAAAAAGUAUUUUCAAAGUCGGUUCCGCAGAUCCAUAGAUUAUUCCCUACAACACCACAUGCUUAACCUCUUUGUAAUCUUAGUAGGUAUAUAUAUCUAACUGCCUCGUCUGUCUGGAUAUUCUGUGUGGUGUCGGAGUAUUUGGCCCAGGAAGGCUUUUCUGUAAUUAUGUUUUGUAUAACUCGCUAGUGCGAGUUUCGAUUCAUCUCCAUCUCUCUCUGUCUAACACGAUACAAUAGAAAUAGAAAUUUCAGGGCGAGGAGGGAAGAUCGGACUAAAAAACGCAUAAUAUAAAAGAAUCACUUGUCCUUAUCAGAUUACGCGGAAUUAUACGAUGACUUUAUGAUAUGUUAUUGUCAACUAAAAACAGGAUAUAUUUCUAUUAUGCACUCUACUGCUGGAGUUACAAAGGUGGAAUUAAGGAGUAGUCCGAACUUAGGCUUCGCACGGGUUUUUUGAAAAGAAGUCAGAAAAAAUAUUCUGAUAUAGUCACUUUGAAGCGUGUCUUACACAAUCUAUUUCAACUACCAAAAUAAAUAAAAAGUGGAUCAGAUUAUUGCUUUCAUUGCCAAUAAAAUGCCAAAAAUAAAAAAAAGAAAUAUUUCGCAACGUGGUCCUAAUUUGACGAAAAAUAGUCCGAACUUAGGCGACUGUACCUUAUUUAUGAAACUAUUUAUGUAUGUAUUAGUAAUUGUAUAAUUUUUUCUUAAAAAUUUAAUUGAUAUGAGAUUAGAUAUAGUAGAAUAUGAAACGGCGCGUAACUUGGUUUUAAACCUCUCUGUCUUUAUUUUAAAACUUACUUCAUUUGACUUAUAAAAUGCACUCGACUUUUAUUACCCCUGUGCAUUACAAGAGUUGUUAAAACUCGAGUGCAUUUUAUAAUUUACUACCCUUUCAUAAUUUACUAUUUGUUACCCUAUAAAUUACUGGCUGAUUGUUUAUUGGGUAUCACAAAUAACAACGACAUUUUGUACUAUACUAGAUAUGUUACGUGCCUACCAAAUCACCGCAAAGACUGAGCCAAAUUUGGCUACUCCACUGAGCGCACACAUGCUCAAUUUUAUAUUUAAACCAAUUACAUAAUUAUGUAAAUACAAUUUUUAAAGUUCCUAUACAACUCGAUAUUUUAUAUGUUCGUCCGACUUCGUCCGCGUGGAAAUCAAUGUAAACUUUCAAGCCUUAUUUCACCACUUUAGGGGUUGAAUUAAAAAAAAAAUUUAAAUCACAUUAUAUUUCGUAUUUUUUUUAUGGUUUAUGAACAAAUUUUUAAAACUAUAACUCUAAAAAUUAAGAACUUUCCAUACAAACUUUCAACCCCUAUUUCACCCCCUUCUUAUUUUAUUUUUGCAAUUAAAAGUAUUCUAUAGCCUAAGUUUCAUUUGAAUUCCUUCAGUAGUUUCAGCGUGAUGCCCGAAUAACAAAAAGACACGGACGGACAGACAGACAAAAAGUCAAAAAAAAAAUAUUUUUAUCUUCAGUAUCGGGGUAUCCCCCAACAAAAAAAUCAAAAUAUCUUCAAUGUACAGAAUUUGACCUGCUACAGUUUUAUUAUAAGUAUAUAUACAUACAUAGAUAUAGAUUUGUUUACUAAAUUUCGGUAUUUACUAUGCAACUCAAUGAAAUUAAGACAAUUAGCUGCUUUUGUUUGCAGUUUUGACGCGUUAGGAACAUAUCUCUAUUAUAAAUCUUUGACUGAUAAUAAUUGACAUAAUAUUAUACACUUGUUUUAAACUGCCUCGGUGGUUCAGUAAUGCCUGUAAUGCAUCUAAUCACAAGGUUCCAGGUACAUACGAAGACAUAUCAUUGAAGUCAUUCAAAUAAGCUGAUAAUGACACUUGCCUCGCAUUUUACAUCAUUUUUUUGGAAGGACUGAACUAAAAUGAAAUAUUUAUAUUAUUAUUAAGUUAGAUUACAGUAGAUUACAUUAAUUUCGGAAUAGUCUUCUAAAAAAUUAAUUAACCAAAAAUAAUUAUUUUCUAAGCUUAAUUAUUUUUUGUUAAUAAUAUGGAAAUGGCUCAUUACUGUAUUUUUCUUAAAUCGGUACUUAUUGAAAUAUUUGGUUUAUAUUCUAAUGUUUUGUGUGUAGUAUUAUUUCAGAUUAAAAUAUUUUAAAGCCUUCAUCCUGUGAUGAUAACAUAAUGACUUUGGAACAGCCGAUCAAAGAGGGGAUAGAUGAGAGAUAGAUAAAAGAAAUAAAAGCUGUUUGGAUCCACUGCAAGUUACACAGACAACACGAGAAAAAAAUUCACUUAUAAUUUAAUUUAUUACUUAUAACCUAUUUGUAAAUUAUGAAAAGUAAAAGAUUGUGGUGCUAGGAAUAGAUACCGAAUUAAACAGCUACAGGAUUUAAAUAAUGAUAUACAGUCAAAUACCUAUUCUGUAAAUUUUAAUGUCUAGGUAGGUACAUAAAUUGGCGACGUGUUCACCGGGACGCAAAUAAGAGUAGGUAAAAUUAGUUAGGUAUAAGAUGACGUGCAAUUUUGUUACGAAUUAUUUUUAUUUUUCAUUUAUUACCGUGUCAUUUUAAUAUUUUAGUUUAGUUUAAUUUACGACGUAUAUUUACAUUAUUAUACUUUUGUAUGUGGAUUUUUAUCCUUAAUAAAGAAAUUAUUAUUAUUAUUAAUAUAAAUGUAGGUGCUGUUAUAAUACUGGUAUCAUACCCAAGUAUCAUCAAGUCUGACCGGAAAAAUGAAAAACCUCAGUCACUUUGUUGUCCGUUUAUCUGUCCGUCUGUCCUGUUAGAAACCUUUAUUUCGGAAACGCGUGGAGCUAUCAAGUUGACUCAGAUCUACGGUAUAAUGAUGUUGUGAAAAAAUUAAAUUUCUAUGUUUACGUGAAUAAAUUAUACGGUUGCAAACACUUUUACCAUCUUCUAGGCAAGCGCGUUCCACCUUAGGGCUCAUCUACACUUACCAUCAGGUGAGAUCGUGGUCAAGCGCGAGCACAUUCAGUAUAAAAAAAAAAAACAUUUGCAUAGACGGCUAAAAAUUGUCGUUGCGCUCUCAAUUUUUUUUUUCUUUUUUCUGGUCAAAUCAUUACCUACCUUAUUUUAAAUACAUUUAAUUUAGUCUAACUAACGUAUUGCUCAAUUCUAAUAAUACAGUAUUGUACAAUGUACUACUUUUUUACAUUUGUUAAUAAAAUUAUUUUUGAAAUAUAUGACAUUUUUUAUAAAUCAUUUUAGAUAUUAAAUAUACCUACUACUAGCGCCACCUGUUAACGAGUUUGUUUGCGCAAAUCAGUUACUAGAUGGCGCUAAACGAAUAUUCAUCUAUUCCGCAUGCAACUUCGUCCACGAGUAAAUUGUAAACUUUAUUAUUGUUUAAUUAGUAAGGAUUACGAUCCCGGACUUAUUUGUAGAUAGCGGAAUUUUUCUUAGAUCUUUAAAAAAAAUAUUCCACCAAGUAUGU